rnacentral:rRNA from 1 species
GUGGGGAAUAUUGGACAAUGGGCGAAAGCCUGAUCCAGCCAUGCCGCGUGUGUGAAGAAGGUCUUCGGAUUGUAAAGCACUUUAAGUUGGGAGGAAGGGCAGUAAGUUAAUACCUUGCUGUUUUGACGUUACCGACAGAAUAAGCACCGGCUAACUUCGUGCCAGCAGCCGCGGUAAUACGAAGGGUGCAAGCGUUAAUCGGAAUUACUGGGCGUAAAGCGCGCGUAGGUGGUUUUGUAAGUUGGAGGUGAAAUCCCGGGCUCAACCUGGGAACUGCCUCCAAAACUGCAUGACUAGAGUACGGUAGAGGGUAGUGGAAUUUCCUGUGUAGCGGUGAAAUGCGUAGAUAUAGGAAGGAACACCAGUGGCGAAGGCGACUACCUGGACUGAUACUGACACUGAGGUGCGAAAGCGUGGGGAGCAAACAGGAUUAGAAACCCGGGUAGUCC